GUCCGGUGUUGGGUUCAUUGUUGUUGAGGUGAUGGUGGCCGUGCGUGAUGUUGUGACGCGCCACUGUGGGUGGGGAGACGGCUCGCCGAGAAGACGGAGCCAUCUCCAUAGCGACUCUGGACACCUCGUCUCGGGAGGUGUCGUCUCUCGUUCGCUCGCAGCUCCCUCCGCCCUCGUUACCGCGACUCCGCACAACGACAACAACGACGACUACGCCGGGCGCGGACGCGCGCGUCCCUCUUCGUUGCGCGCCACGGGACACGCAAACCGCGGGUUGACUGUACGACCGGCGUCCGUGGACGGCGAUCGCGCUCGGCGCUGCGUACGAUUCUGGAGCAGUCGGCGCCGAAGAGCUCGUCAAACGUCUCGGGCGACAUCUCCC